rnacentral:rRNA from 2 species
CGCAGCGAUGCGUUGAGCUAACCGGUACUAAUGAACCGUGAGGCUUAACCUUACAACGCCGAAGGUGUUU